CCUACGGGAGUCAGCAGUGAGGAAUAUUGGUCAAUGGACGCAAGUCUGAACCAGCCAAGUAGCGUGAAGGAUGACUGCCCUACGGGUUGUAAACUUCUUUUAUAAAGGAAUAAAGUGAGGCACGGGUGCCUUUUUGUUUGUAUUUUAUGAAUAAGGAUCGGCUAACUCCGUGCCAGCAGCCGCGGUAAUACGGAGGAUCCGAGCGUUAUCCGGAUUGAGUGGGUUUAAAGGGAGCGUAGAUGGGUUGUUAAGUCAGUUGUGAAAGUUUGCGGCUCAACCGUAAAAUUGCAAUUGAUACUGGCAGUCUUGAGUACAGUUGAGGUAGGCGGAAUUCGUGGUGUAGCGGUGAAAUGCUUAGAUAUCACGAAGAACUCCGAUUGCGAAGGCAGCUUACUAAACUGCCACUGACAUUGAUGCUCGAAAGUGUGGGUAUCAAACAGGAUUAGAUACCCGGGUAGUC
rnacentral:rRNA from 1 species